rnacentral:tRNA from 1 species
GAUUCAGUAGUUUAGUGGUAAAAUCCAUCGUUGCUAUCGAUGAGUCCCGCGUUCGAUUCGUGGCUGAUGCA